UGAGCAAUCUGCCCUUCUCAUCGGAAUAAGCGUUGGAAACGACGUCUAAUGCCGAAUACGACCUCCUUUCGCAUGAUCGGAGGUGGAAAGCUCCGGCGGAGAAGGAUGAGCUCGCGGCCUAUCAGCUUGUUGGUGAGGUAAUGGCUUACCAAGGCGACGACGGGUAGCCGGCCUGAGAGGGUGACCGGCCACACUGGGACUGAGACACGGCCCAGACCUCCUACGGGAGCAG
rnacentral:rRNA from 1 species